AUGGGGCGUUGCAGCUCUCUGGCUACGGCGCCUUGCGGCUGGACCUCGCAGGGUGACAUAAUUGGCCGUUUGGUUGCACAAGCGCCUUUCUUUCUUCCACCUUCCUAUUCUUGACAAAGCCCUUCAACCACAAACACGCCCCAACUCCAAGUGAGGUGGCUGUCCUGCCUGACUUCAGAAGGAAAUUGCCACCUGGGCUCAGGCGGCUGAGAUUCCAAUUCCAGUUGUUUCCCAAGGGUUCAAAGAUCUUAAGUGACCGCCACUGAAAGCAAAUUGAAUUCAAAAGCUAAGAGGAAGCCAACGUAGCUGGAGACUCCAGUGUGAGAUCUUGGGUCACCGUCAUUUGGUCUUGUUGGAGUGGGCCUGUGUUAAAGGCAAAGCAUCAUAUUGGAAAGGAGUCUGUGGAGCAUGGAUGACUGCCUCAUGAUGGUCAGGAAGCAGAAAGGAAGAGGAACCGG